GACACGGGGCAGACCCAGACCCGACCCGAAGCUCAGAGCCGAGCCCAGGCGAGGUCAGCGGAGCUCUGAUCAGUCUGCAGACGCCCGGAUCUGCCGGGUUUACUUCACUUAAUGGGAAGAAACGGAAACCUGAAGGUAGUGAUCCCUGGAGCUGAAUCUGGUUCCAGGAAAGGAGACAUCAUACAAGCCAGUCACGGUCUCCAGAAUGCGUAUUAAGACGAAAGCGCUCCUCUCCCGCCCCCAGUCACACGGCGGGUGCCCGGCCUCUGCGAGGAACAGGUCUCUCGAAGC